rnacentral:rRNA from 1 species
GACGAACGCUGGCGGCGUGCUUAACACAUGCAAGUCGAACGGUGAACCUCUUCGGAGGGGAUCAGUGGCGAACGGGUGAGUAACACGUUGGCAACCUGCCCCCGGCUCUGGGAUAACUCCAAGAAAUUGGGGCAAAUACCGGAAGUUCACCGCUUCCCGCAUGGGUGGUGGUGGAAUGGGGUUCAGGCUGGGGAUGGGCGCGCGGCCUAUCAGCUUGUUGGUGGUGUAGUGGCAUACCAAGGCGACGACGGGUAGCCGGCAUGAGAGGGUGAACAGGCACACUAGUCCUGCGAGACGGCCCAGUAUGCUACGGGAGGCAGCGGGGGAGAACAUUACGCAGUGGGCCGGAGCGUGACACGGCGGCGUUGGGUUCGUGAUGACGGCCUUCGGGGUGAAAACCUCUUUCAGCAGGGACGAAGAGCAAGUGACGGUACCUGCAGAAGAAGCACCGGCUAACUACGUG